rnacentral:rRNA from 1 species
GAAAGGUGAAAAGAACCGCGGGAGCGGAGUGAAAGAGAACCUGAAACCGUAUGCCUACAAGAAGUCAGAGCCCGUUAAGGGGUGAUGGCGUGCCUUUUGUAGAAUGAACCGGCGAGUUGCGACAGACUGCGAGGUUAAGGAGGAAAGACCGGAGCCGAAGCGAAAGCGAGUCUUAAGAGGGCGAAAGUAGGAUGUUGCAGACCCGAAACCGGGUGAUCUAGCCAUGAGCAGGUUGAAGUUGAGGUGAAACUCAAUGGAGGACCGAACCGACUACCGUUGAAAAGUUAGCGGAUGACUUGUGGCUAGGGGAGAAAUUCCAAUCGAACCCGGAGAUAGCUGGUUCUCCCCGAAAUAGCUUUAGGGCUAGCGUCGGAAAGAACCUUAGUGAAGGUAGAGCACUGAAUGUGUGAUGGCCCCAUCCCGGGGUACUGAAUACAAUCAAACUGCGAAUGUCAUUAAGGAUGUCCGGCAGUCAGACUGUGAGUGAUAAGGUCCAUGGUCAAGAGGGAAACAGCCCAGACCGCCAGUUAAGGUCCCAAAAUACAGGCUAAGUGGAAAAGGAUGUGGGGAUGCCCAGACAACUAGGAGGUUGGCUCAGAAGCAGCCAUCCUUUAAAGAGUGCGUAACAGCUCACUAGUCGAGUGACCCUGCGCCGAAAAUGUACCGGGGCUAAGCCUGAUACCGAAACUGCGGAUUGUAGGAAACUAUAGUGGUAGGGGAGCGUUGUAUACGAGCAGAAGCCGUACCGUGAGGAGCGGUGGAUUGUAUAGAAGUGAGAAUGCCGGUGUGAGUAGCGAGAUGUAGGUGAGAAUCCUACACACCGAAAGCCCAAGGAUUCCAGGGGAAGGUUCGUCCGCCCUGGGUAAGUCGGGACCUAACGCGAGGCCGAAAGGCGUAGUGGAUGGAAAGCAGGCGAAAGAUUCCUGCACCCGUAUAUGGAGCGAAGGAGUGACGGAGACGGAUAGUGUGACCCUCUUAAUGGAUUGAGGGCGAAGCGAAGCGGCUGGUUACCAGGCAAAUCCGGUAACUGAAAGGCUAGAGCGUGACAGGUAAGCGAAAUCUUAGGAAAGUAGCGAAGCACAUGAUGACGGCUUCCAGGAAAAGCUUCUGGCAAUGCAUAUGCGGCCCGUACCAAAACCGACACAGGUGGGCAGGGAGAGAAUCCCGAGGUGAGCGAGAGAACUGUUGCCAAGGAACUCGGCAAAAUGACUCCGUAAGUUAGCGAGAAGGAGUGCUUAAGCAAUUAAGCCGCAGUGAAGAGGCCCAAGCGACUGUUUAACUAAAACACAGCUCUCUGCGAAGUCGCAAGACGAAGUAUAGGGGGUGACACCUGCCCGGUGCUGGAAGGUUAAGAGGAUCUGUUAAGAGCGAUCUGAAGCAGUGAUCCGAAGCCCCAGUGAACGGCGGCCGUAACUAUAACGGUCCUAAGGUAGCGAAAUUCCUUGUCAGGUAAGUUCUGACCCGCACGAAAGGUGUAACGAUUUGGGCGCUGUCUCGGCAGCAGACUCGGUGAAAUCUUAGUACCUGUGAAAAUGCAGGUUACCCGCAACUAGACGGAAAGACCCCAUGGAGCUUUACUGCAGCCUGAUAUUGAAUUCUGGUCAUACAUGUACAGGAUAGGUGGGAGACAAAGAGACGUGCACGCCAGUGUACGAGGAGUCGCCGUUGGGAUACCACUCUUGUGUGACCGGGGUUCUAACCUGGUAUCGAGAACAGGUACGGGGAGAGUGUCAGGUGGGCAGUUUGACUGGGGCGGUCGCCUCCCAAAGAGUAACGGAGGCGCCCAAAGGUACGCUCAGAUUGGAUGGAAACCAAUCGUCGAGUGCAAUUGCAGAAGCGUGCUUGACUGUGAGACAGACAAGUCGAACAGGGACGAAAGUCGGGAAUAGUGAUCCGGCGGUGCCGAAUGGAAGGGCCGUCGCUCAACGGAUAAAAGCUACCCUGGGGAUAACAGGCUGAUCUCGCCCAAGAGUUCACAUCGACGGCGAGGUUUGGCACCUCGAUGUCGGCUCAUCGCAUCCUGGAGCUGGAUUCGGUUCCAAGGGUUGGGCUGUUCGCCCAUUAAAGCGGUACGCGAGCUGGGUUCAGAACGUCGUGAGACAGUUCGGUCCCUAUCUGUUGUGGGCGAAGGAGAUCUGCGGAGAGCUGUCCUCAGUACGAGAGGACCGGGAUGGACCUACCGCUGGUGCACCGGUUGUUCCGCCAGGGGCAUAGCCGGGUAGCUAAGUAGGGAAAGGAUAAGCGCUGAAAGCAUCUAAGCACGAAGCCUACUCCAAGAUGAGAUCUCCCAUUCG